rfam:Larimichthys crocea isolate SSNF unplaced genomic scaffold scaffold276, whole genome shotgun sequence.
UCUUAUCUUUUCUGUAAAUCGCUUUGGAUAAAAGCGUCAGCUAAAUGACUAAAU